AGGCACUCUGGAAGAUGGGACAGAGGAAAAGCAAGCCCUCUGGUCCCAUGGGUGGGGGAACCCCUGUAAAGCUUCCCCAAAUUCCUCCAGAUAGCCCAUUAGGACUAAUGAUUAAAAAUUGGGAUGCCUUCCCAUCCAGGAAAGGAAAGGACAAGACCACGGAUGAAGCUAAAAUCAAUCCAGAAGUGUGGUACACCUCCGACACUGUAGGAAGAUUGAAUAUCGAACCUUUUGAAGUAACCAUCCAGAACCCUGAGAUACCUAGACAGCAAUUCAGACCUCCGAGAAGGGAUGGACCCACGCAAGUCAAGUUUAAAGACCGAUCACUACAGCUGACCACUGGAGAGUAACGAGCCAACCCGGAAACCUGAAGGUCACCUUGAAAAAGAACUAACAGACUCAGUGUGGGUAAUCCAAAUAGACCAAGAAGGGGAACAAAAAAAUACGCUUACCCCUUGGCUGAUAAUUAUAGAGUACUGUGUAAAGAAA